AGUGAACGCUGGCGGUAGGCCUAACACAUGCAAGUCGAACGGCAGCACAGUAAGAGCUUGCUCUUACGGGUGGCGAGUGUCGGACGGGUGAGGAAUACAUCGGAAUCUACUUUUUCGUGGGGGAUAACGUAGGGAAACUUACGCUAAUACCGCAUACGACCUACGGGUGAAAGCAGGGGAUCUUCGGACCUUGCGCGAUUGAAUGAGCCGAUGUCGGAUUAGCUAGUUGGCGGGGUAAAGGCCCACCAAGGCGACGAUCCGUAGCUGGUCUGAGAGGAUGAUCAGCCACACUGGAACUGAGACACGGUCCAGACUCCUACGGGAGGCAGCAGUGGGGAAUAUUGGACAAUGGGCGCAAGCCUGAUCCAGCCAUACCGCGUGGGUGAAGAAGGCCUUCGGGUUGUAAAGCCCUUCUGUUGGGAAAGAAAAGCAGCAGGUUAAUACCCCGCUGUUCUGACGGUACCCAAAGAAUAAGCACCGGCUAACUUCGUG
rnacentral:rRNA from 1 species